rnacentral:rRNA from 1 species
CCUUCGGGUCGUAAACCUCUGUCACCGGGGAAGAAACGCUGCAUUUUAACAGAAUGCAGCCUGACUCAACCCGGAGAGGAAGCAGUGGCUAACUCUGUGCCAGCAGCCGCGGUAAUACAGAGACUGCAAGCGUUAUUUCGGAUUCACUGGGCGUAAAGGGUGCGCAGGCGGCCAAGUGUGUGAGGCGUGAAAGCCCGGGGCUUAACCCCGGAAUUGCACCUCAAACUACAUGGCUAGAGCAUUGGAGAGGGUAGCAGAAUUCAUGGUGUAGCAGUGAAAUGCGUAGAUAUCAUGAGGAAUACCAGAGGCGAAGGCGGCUACCUGGACAAUUGCUGACGCUCAGGCACGAAAGCGUGGGGAGCAAAAGGGAUUAGAUACCCCUGUAGUCCACGCCCUAAACGGUGCACACUAGGUCUUGGCGGAUUCGACCCCGCCAGGGCCCAAGCUAACGCGUUAAGUGUGCCGCCUGAGGACUACGGCCGCAAGGCUA